UACGGGAGGCAGCAGGGGGAAUAUUGCACAAUGGGCGCAAGCCUGAUGCAGCCAUGCCGCGUGUAUGAAGAAGGCCUUCGGGUUGUAAAGUACUUUCAGUCGUGAGGAAGGUGUUAAGGUUAAUAACCUUAGCAAUUGACGUUAGCGACAGAAGAAGCACCGGCUAACUCCGUGCCAGCAGCCGCGGUAAUACGGAGGGUGCGAGUGUUAAUCGGAAUUACUGGGCGUAAAGGGCACGCAGGCGGUUAAUUAAGUUGGAUGUGAAAUCCCCGGGCUUAACCUGGGAAUGGCAUUCAAGACUGGUUAGCUAGAGUCUUGUAGAGGGGGUAGAAUUCCAUGUGUAGCGGUGAAAUGCGUAGAGAUGUGGAGGAAUACCGGUGGCGAAGGCGGCCCCUGGACAAAGACUGACGCUCAUGUGCGAAAGCGUGGGGAGCAAAC
rnacentral:rRNA from 1 species